rnacentral:lncRNA from 1 species
CAAAAUUCAUUUGAGUCAAAUUAAUAUUAAGAUUAAGGGCUUGUUUAAGACCUGUGCUAUGAAAUCAUUUUGGAUUCUGCUGAAUUGUAUAAACCAAACCUUUUCCCCAGGAUUUAAGUACAAAAUCUGAUCCAUCUUUUCCAGAUCUUUCAAAAUAUAAAGAUGUGGAAACAUGGGACUGAGACAAUGUUUUCCCCCCACAAACUACCAAAUGGGAAAGGAAGAGGAGUGGGGGACUGGGAGGGGUUGUUGUUUCGUAGUUGGCAGAAGGAGGAUGGGAAGCGCAUGGUGGGCACAGUUCUUGGUUUGUACAGCCUUCUUCCAUCUGAACCUUGAUAAGUCUGAUGAGAGAUUCUUACGUUUGGCUGUGAAUGAUAAGAGAAGAGGAGACACGAGAAGAGAAGCCCAUUUCUCUGUUGAUAAGAGCUGAGCAGCGGCUAUUCAAGGUACAUGCGGAUAGUACCUUCCCGGCCUCGUUUGCUUUGAUCUUAGAAUUUCUUCAUAGAUAAGAAGACCAACCCCAUGACUUCCCUGCCGCCCCGUACAGCUCAUCAAAUCCCUCUCAAGAUAAACAACACUCAAGGC